CUGCAUUUUCAUUGACUCAUUCUUCCCUGCCCUUGACCCUUUGGGGUGAUUCAUUGUGAACCAGAAGCUGUUCAGCUCCUGUCAACUUUUCCCCAAGGCUGCCGUUUGGAUAUUUCUAGGUCAAGCUGCCCCAGGGAUCUUAAGAAGAACCAAAGUCAAAGCAAAGCUGUCAGACACAAAUGAACAAUUGCUGGCAAGAUAGGACAAUCCAUGUUCCAUGAAACGAGAGAUGAAUGAACAACCAACAAGAAUAAAUAAUCUAUAGGAGACAAUGUAAUCCAGAGAUAAUUUGCACUGAUAGAUAUCUACUCUGCAGCUGAUGAAGAAAGAGGCAGGUGUCAACUUACAUAAUGAAUUCCUGUGAGGUAGCCAC